rnacentral:lncRNA from 1 species
CUGAGGUUGGCCCGGCAGAGCAUCCUGGCGGCCUCCCUGGUCCGUAUCCGAAGAGACCGUGAGAGUGGGCCGGCCCCUCUGAGGAGAUGGUCCCUUAGGAGCAUCCAUGUCCUCAUCCUCCCGAAGUGGGCGGGAAAGGGAGCCCAAGGAACCUCAUUUCACUCCCUCAACAACACUGUGAGGUUGACUGUGCUCCCCGCAGCUCAGGAAUUAUUUGCUGCCUUCCCUCUGGUCGACGGCACCCAGUCCUGCCGUGGGUCCCCCACCACCUGUCCAGCCUCAGCCAUGCCGUGCUGGCACCAGGGUCAGGCUAGAGUGUCCUGGUGACCCUGUCAUGCCUCUGCAAGGUAGCCUGGGAAUCUGAGACAGGCAAGGUGACACCUCCUGUGGGAGGCCAAGGACACCACGCGCUAUCCGACGAGCCACAGUGGAUCCAUAGCACAGCUCAGAGGGCCAGGAGCUGCCCGGGACCCAGCCCUAGCUGCCCACACUCUCCUCACCUCAGCACAAGCGUGUGAGUGGGUGUCUUCAUCUUCCUCUAUUUUGUAUGUAGGACACCGCUACAGCACAGCUUGAUGAGCCAUGUGUAGGUCCACGCCCGGAAUCCGAACCCGUGAACCCUGAGCCGCUGAAGCAAAGCCCGCAG